CAUACUGUGGCACUCCAGGACCGACGUUGCCUACCCCUGCCAUAGACCACGGGUGUCGAACUCCAGGCCUGGAGUGCCGCAGCGGCUACAGGUUUUCAUUCUAACCCUUUCUCCUAAUCAGUUUUCACUGCUGAUUCACUUUUUUCCCUUCAUUUUAGUAGCCCAGUUAGAAGGAUUCAGUCCUCUGAAUUGUUUCGUUUCCUCAUUAAAUGACAGCCAAACAGAAAUGAGAUGUGAAACAAGCCGACAGAUGACCUGCUUAACCUGGGGCUUCAGUCUCCAACCAGUUUCUUAGUGAGAAGCUGAUGCUUGCUGUUAAUUAAACCCGUUAUUUAAUUAUUCAUUCUGACACAGCAGACAUUUCCAAAACUGAUGAUUUUCUGGGUUUUUUUUCUAAGAACGCCGUCAAGAUGUUUUGAUGACCUGAGCAUAUCGGCCGUACUGAGAACUCCACCCUUCUCUAUUUUCAGAUAUUGGGUGAUGGGCACAGGUGAGCUGGUCAUGUGGCCGCUUGUUUUGUGUCUCAUUAUUGUUUGACCGCUAAUUAAGGAAAAAGAAACAACUAAGGGGCCUGAGUCAAGUCAAGUCAAGUUGGGGAGCAGGCACUGGCACAGUGCGUUGCCGCACCCACCACAUGAUGAAACAACUCGGGAUCCCGGUUGGCAACCCCCCAGGCAGACACGCGGUCCAGUCCCACCCUCUGGAAAUGACCCUCUAUCUGCCACAGCCAGGUGUUACGUGGGCGAGACCCCUUGGCCUGGUCCAGCCACUCGGGUCCCCAACAAUGAGGAUCUUAGGAGCUGGAUCACCCUCGGGGAAACGCCCCACAUGGCCGUAGUGCCAUAACUGACGCUCCCUCACAACGCAGGUAAUGUGCCUCUUUCAGGACUCCAUGAGCAACACAAAGUCAAACCAGCGGUACUCAAGGAUUCUCCAAAGAGACACAGCACUGAAGGAGUCCAGUCUUCAUCUCAGGUCACUGGAUAGCGUCCAUGUCUCGCAAACAGGAAGCACCAGGACUCUGAAGACUUGGACCUUCGUCCUUUUGCAGAUAUCAGGAGCGCCACACACCCCUUUCCAGCGACCUCAUGACUCGAGCUAAGUAAAAGAAGUGAUUCACAGCAAAAAUUGAUCACUAAUUAAGAAGAUGGUUAGAAUGAAAACCUGCAGCCACUGCGGCCUUCCUGCCAUAGAUGAUGAGCAAGGUAUUGUUGUCCACCUCUUCCAGUUCAUCAUCCUGGAAUGGUGUCAUUCAAGUAAUGCCAGACCUCCACACAAAAUGAUUUCUCUUGUGGUGUUGCCGCCAUUUUACUAUAAACAAGAAACCGCGCUCGAUGGCAUUCACUGGUACUUUUAGGUGGGCUUUUCAACUUUGAACUUUCCUCUAUCCAGUGAUGUGUGGAAUGUGUUUUCUGUCUUCUACAGUUUGUUUGAAAUGCAUUUUUGAAAUCUACUCUUUCAUUUUGAAUAGCCCUGUAUUUCGGGAUUGACUUUUACAGGAAAGGGCUUGACUAUAGGCAUUCCCUAAAUCUUCAUCCGGACACACAGAAAUGGGCAAAGAGAGGAAAUGUGCAGUUUGUAAGAAAAAUGCAAGAAAACAAUACUGUAGAUGCGAUGUUGGAGAACACGUGGAACGCUUUCAAGAAUGGCAUCAAAAAUACAGUAUGUGGGGAUCGGACUAAAAUGUGAAAUUUCAGGAAACAAAUGCUGGUGCUAUAAUGGAAAAUUGAUGUUUUUCUUACUAUUCAGAUGUAGAUGGACAGAAAUAAAGUAAAAAUAAAUAAAUAAAUUGAGAAAAAAUUUUUGAAGUUAAUGGGUUAAACAAGUUAACAUCCCCAGAAUGUGAUUUUCAGAUCCUCAAGCCUGCAGGUUGAACUGCUGUGAGAUGUCAUUUUUGAAGUGUCUCCUUUCUCUGUUACACCUUUUCCCAUAUCAGUCACAAAACAGCUUGUGCUUGUGACCUAACAGCUAUGGUUGACGUUGGAGCAUUCAUAAAGUUAAAUGAACCAGCGAAACGGUAUUUACUUCGACGUUGGUAAUUCAUUCAGUAACUAAUCGAAAGUCUGCUUUAUUAAACUGGUCUGCUAUGAGCACCCAAGUGCUGCCACAAGAGGCCUAAGCCCCCGACAACAUUGGAAAUGAAAAAACUGGUUCUGCACGGACAUCUAGGGAAGCUUAUUUCAGUGCUGAUCAAAAUUAGAGAACGAUUUAUGAACACGUGGUUUUUCCAAGGGCGGCACGGUGGCGCAGUGGGUAGCGCUGCUGCCUCGCAGUUAGGUGACCUGUGGUUCGUUUCCCGGGUCCUCCCUGCAUGGAGUUUGCAUGUUCUCCCCGUGUCUGCGUGGGUUUCCUCCCACAGUCCAAAGACAUGCAGGUUAGGUGCACUGGCGAUCCUAAAUUGUCCCUAGUGUGUGCUUGGUGUGUGUGUGUGUGUGCCCUGCGGUGGGCUGGCACCCUGCCUGGGGUUUGUUUCCUGCCUUGUGCCCUGUGUUGGCUGGGAUUGGCUUCAGCAGACCCCCGUGACCCUGUAGUUAGGAUAUAAUGGGUUGAUAAUGGAUGGAUGGUUUAUCACUGUUCUACUAGCAUGUUUUACAAAAUGAAUCGAGGCACAGUGCUCAGCCUUGGAGAACAGUAGCCAUUGCAGCAGAAAAGAAGAUUGUAAGUAACAUUUCUGGAGGGCUCCAGCUUUGAAUAAUUUAGUAGGAAGUGUCAAGGCCCUUUGCUGGUUUGAUCUUGGUCCACUCCGCUUCCAGUCUCUUUUCACAGUUCAGGAACUGUAGCGGGUUUCUUAGCCAUAACUUUUGUCAGCAAGGAUUUUUCCAGAGAUUGUAGAUCUGGACUCUGGGCUGGCCAUUUCAUUAUUUCAUUGUUGUUCGCUUCGAGGAACUGCUUGACCUCUUUUUCAGGGGGGCAUCGUCUUGCAUAAAGAUUGUGGGCUGAAUGGGAGAUGCUCACAGGGAGGGAGGUUCUGAUAAACAUUGGUAGUCACCCUGCCAUGUAGCUGUAUAAGAGGCCCAACCACUCGACGCACUUUGGGUCCAGUCUUCCCCCAGUUUGACACCAAACAUGUUUCCUCGGGGGACCCAGAUAAGCUAAACUUGCUCUCAUUACUAAAGUGAACUCUGGACCAGUUCUCUGUCCACACAACAUGCUCCUCAGCAAAGGUUAGUCGAGCGUUUUGAUUCUUUCUGCUGAUGAGAGGUGUGGGCUUUCAGUCGGAAUCAUCUUAAAACGCCGAGAACGAUCCUUACUCUGUUCAACGCUGAAUUGGCGAGAAAUUCCAGCUGCAGUGUUGAACCGACUCCCCGUUGAGAGGCUCUGCCUUAUCCCAUCUUCUCGUGUAUUUGUCUUAUGUGGACUGCCAGCAUUGUCAUUGUAGAGCUGCUGCAUUCUAGAAAUCACAGAGCAGCUUCUGUUGUAGUGGCUGAGAGCGGUGGGCCCUUUGGCCUUCAUCUGCCGCAGGGUUUAGGUGCAUCUUAGAGCUGCCCGAUUUAAAUGGGGCUCGUCAGAUUAGCACCAAUAACCGGGGGGUAUCCAAGAGUGUUCUCUGAUUUUGAUCAGAGUUCUUCAAAUUCCUUCGUUUUUUUUUUGUAGAUUAUACUUCACAAUAUAUUUUAAAUUAUGAAAAAUGGCCCUCCUCUUCCAGUUUAGGAUAAUUUCAAAUAGGUAUAAGCAGUAAAAUUGAAAUUUAGGAAGCUGUAAGUUGUUCUCCCAAUUUUGAUCACCACUGUAUAUUGAUAUUUCACAAAAACAAAUGCGUUACUUCACAAAGAUGUUGCCUAUCGUCGCUGGACAUGCGCACACCGGUAGUCUAGUGACAAUGGCGGAGACACUAAGCACAUGCGUAGCGCACAAUCAAGUGACACGAAUUGAGCAGAGAGUAUUGGCAAAAAAAAACCAAAUAUUGUCUCCCUUGCAUUUCUCCCAGUAAUGCUUGCAAUUCCAAAUGCUUUGGUCUUCACGUGUUGUAUUUUAUUUCUUUUGGUUACAUUUGAACAACACAUAAAAGGCCAAGUCUGAGGUCAUGCCACACCGAACUCCCGAAAUGGACUGGACACAAUUAGCGGCUCCUUUUCCAAGUUGUAAGAAAUAAUUGGACUUCAGUCACGGGACGCUCCAUUAAUUGGUAUUUAAACUCACCCGUGGCAGGUAACGGGCGCCAGCAAUACAGAAAUCCCCCCUGUUGAAAUGGAGAAGAGCGGGCGGUGCGGACAUCGAGUGAAGAAUCGUCUGAGGCUUUGCGAACCAAACUUGGGGACAAUCACAGGACUCUUAAGUCCACCUCCAGAGAUGCUAACGUUUCCGAGUCCAAUGUGUGCAACGUCAUUAAGAAGUUUACAGGCCAUGUCACUGUAGCUGGACGUGGACGGAAGAGAAAAACUGAUGGAAGAUUGCAAUGAAGGACCCUUAGAAUGGUGGAUAAUAACAAAAAAUGCAAUCCAAACAAAUUCUAGCUGACUAACAGACACAGGAUACACCAGUGGCAGCUCGCAUUAUCUUGUAAUGAUUGUAUCCGCUACACUUGUUCUUUAUUUCACCUUAUACAAUUUCUUGUAUUAGGAAUUUGUUAGUUUUCACAUACCCCUUGGGGUCAGAGCGCAGGGUCACUACACUAAGUUUACAGUGAAAAAUUAUAGUGAUGAUUGCAGGUCAAGCCCAAACUGCCUUCAGCCCCUUCCCACAGCGCAGAAAGAUGACUUAUAAUAAUAAAAGUGAUAUUUACUAAACCACACCGAGGAAAGAUGCAACAAAAAUAAUGUAAUUAAUACAUUUUCUACAAUCUCCCAAAUUCCCCCACUUCCAAUAUAUACAAUAAACACAAGGCAUAAAAUUAUAUAUCCCAAGAAUUUUCCCCACCGUCCAUUUAAUUUAGUCUUUUUCCGAUUCUCCUAUUUCCCCAUAGUUCAGUUCCUUAGACAUGCCGAUCCCAGAAUAAAAGAUUUACGGUUCACACUGCUUCCGAUCGCUUUCACGGUAACCUCAGCGUAUCCAGAAUCUUCGAGGUGGCCACCCCAGACUGCGUUGGACUUGUGGUGCUCCCCGAAAACAAUCUUUCUCCUGGACUCAGAUGGGUUGUGUCUUUUUUCCUCCGCCAUAAAAACUCGAGCUGUCUUCUCUUCCUGCCUUUUCGCGCCCCUAUUUAAAUAGUGUGUCCAUUUCCAUGGUACUCCCGGAAAUCACAAUGACAGCCCCAUACCUCCCAAAAGGUCCUCUCUAUCCAACAUCCCAUCUUCUGUAUUCUCAAGUAGUAACGGGAUUUUACAUAGAGAGAAAAAAACAAACCAUAUACAUAUUUAUGUGGCAAUGCUACAAUCUGUUGCCAUCUGAAUGAAAUGGGACACUCCGGCAGGAGACCACCCUGUUCUCACCGAGACAUAAAAAAGCCAAUACUUACCUGAAGAAGCCAACAUCCUGCUGGGAGAACAUCCAGUGGACAGAUGAGACCAAAAUUGAGUGAUAGAGCAAACACAAAGGGGAAAGACCAGGGUCAGUACAGCCAAACGUGGCACAGGUUCACAGAUAUUUUGCUUCUGCUUCUGGCACUGGAUGCCUUGACUGUGUGCAUGGCAUCACAAAAUCUGGGCCUUGGCAAAUGUGAGUGAAAAACAAAAAGUAAUGGCGGCGUUUUUCUGUUGCAGUGGCACCUUGCAUUCUUUCACACGACACAUGUCUGCGGUUACUCGCACAUUACAUCGCCUGCCCCUCAGGCUAAUGGAUAAGUGGCACCCAGCUUGUUUUAGGGCCCAGUGUCAGAAAGUUGGGUCUCUGUCAGCAAUUACUUUUCUUCCAUCAGGAGAAUGACCCACCCAAAGUAUACUUCAACGAGCACCCAGAAAUGGUUUAAGACCAAGUGCUGGAGAUCAGUCAUCUGACAUGGCCAGCGUUAAGUCCAGGUCUAAAUCCUAUAGAACACCCGUGGAGAGACCUCAGGACAGCAGUUAGGAGAAGAUCUGGGGCAGCUGGCAUGAGAAGAGUGGUCCAAAGCUCCAGUGCAGAGGUGUAAGAAACUCGCAUGUGGUUACAGGAACCAUUCAUUUCAGUUGUUGUUUCCAAGGAAUGUGUGCUGCCAGAUUUUAAGUUGGGGGUGCUAAUAAUUUUGCCCCAUCCAUAUCUGAAGUUCUGUGUGGAAUGAUCAGCAGAUUGGCCUUUUUUUACCUUCUGCUUUUUUAGUGUUGUUCCAAUGCAAACAAAAGAAAUAAAUUACGUGAAGACCAAUCCGUUUGGAAUUGUAACAGUUUCCUGGAAGAAGUGCAGGGGCAGUCUGGGGGGUCUUAAUCUGGUUUUGCUGUAACUCGUUUCCCAGUUCUGUAGACCAUACAGGAGAGUUCAUACUGAUUAUGGACCAAGCUUUUCCUAAUAACUGAAUGAGUCACCAAAGUAUAUCAGUGACAUAGUCUGAGAUGGGACGAAAUUCAGAAAGAAUGGAUGAUACACAGUGCGAGAGAUCUUAUCUCAGAGCUGGAGGACCACCAACACGACACUCCAAAGGAAAACUGCAUGGAGGAAACUGACAGCAAAUGUCAAUGUGCAGUUUGUUAAUUAGGGACGGAAACUCCCUAUUAAUGAGUAAAUGUAGGCUGCUCCAUAUUUUUCUAUCUUGUAUUACUCCAUAUAAAUAUUUCCACGCAUCACUUGUCAUUUAAGAUAAACAUAUUUGAUUCAGUAUCACACUAUACUUCUAACAAAACUAUAAAGUAUGUUUUCACUUUUUAUUUGUCAUUGUUCAUGUCCGGAACACUCCUGUCUGACGCGUGCGGAAUUCAUUUUGUAAUGUUACCCCCCGUAUGAAGGCAGCUGAGCCUGCUCAGGAGGUGCUCUAAGUUAGUAUGCAACUUUGGUGCCCUUCUCCCACUCCCUGAAGCCCACCAUAGCUGCACUUAGCCGUAGUCUUAAUAAUCUUGAUACAUAAUUUGGCAGCCUCCUCACUCACUCACUCACUCACAUCCAUUCGAAGCCGAAUGCGCAGUCGCCUUCUGCACAGCUACCCGAAAAGCCUUACGAGACCGACAUCGCGGCAGGCGGCCGAUUUACGGCCACGAAAAUUCAAAGAGAAAGGCGACUUCGAUUAAAGCUCUAGAGGCCUGAAAGGCGAUUUCGACUACAGCUCGAGGCCUAAUUACGCAUUCUGAUUCAAUUACGCAUUCAUUCCAUACACCUAUAUCAGGUUUGUGGUGCUUAUACUUAUUACUAUUCCACUCGUGCCCGUUUCAUCUAACGUUGUCGAAGCGGGCUCUUUGUCUAGUAAUAAUUAUAAUUCAUUACAUUUAUAUAGCGCUUUUCUCAGUCCCAAAGCGCUAUCCACACAGGGAGGAACCAGGAAGCGAACCCACAAUCGUCCACAGUCUCCUUACUGCAAUGCAGCAGCACUACCACUGUCUCGGUCAGUUCUGAGGCAGACUGCAAACAGCGCUAAACCUGAAAGCUGAGACCAGAUCAGCACGGGAUCAUCCAAAGCUCACAGCUCUCUGCGACCGGCCUCCUGUGGCUUACGUUUUUGUUUGCCGAAAUACUUGAAACAACUUUUAGGUACGACAGCAGCUAGAGCUCACUGGGGUGCAAGUUACAAUUCUGUUAAUUCUUUUUAAGCAAACUUCAACUCUAACUAACGACUAACUAUAUCAGUGCUUCCCAAUCUCCGUCCUGGGGACCCCCUGUGGCUACUGGUUUUGGACCCACCAGCUUCUGUUUUUAAUUGGACUCCUGGGCUCAUUAAGUGAACUGCCCCCCCCCCCCCCCCAAGUUCUGUGUUUUGGGAACAAUAUAGAAAUUAGAGUUUCUACACAAAGAACGAUAAGACACUUGGACAGUAGGACGUCGGGGACUUUCUAAACUCGACUUGAUGUUUCUUUGGAAGAAAUAAGUGGAUAGGACUGGUGAGCUUUGUUGGGCUGAAUGGCCUGUUCUCGUCUUGAGGGUUCUAUUAUUCUAGAAAACUAAGUCUGGUUAAAAAAAAAAAUACUAAAAUGUACCAAGCAGUUAGGGUGGCACGGUGGCCAAAAUCUGGGUUCGCUUCCCAGGUCCUCCCUGCGUGGAGUUUGCAUGUUCUCCCCGUGUCUGCGUGGGUUUCCUCCCACAGUCCAAAGACAUGCAGGUUAGGUGCAUUGGCAAUCCUAAAUUGUCCCUAGUGUGUGCUUGGUGUUUGUGUGUGCCCUGCGGUGGGCUGGCGCCCUGCCCGGGGUUUGUUUCCUGCCUUGUGCCCUGUGUUGGCUGGGAUUGGCUCCAGCAGACCCCUGUGACCCUGUAGUUAGGAUAUAAUGGGUUGGAUAAUGGAUGGAUGGUUUAUCACUGUUCUACUAGCAUGUUUUACAAAAUGAAUCGAGGCACAGUGCUCAGCCUUGGAGAACAGUAGCCAUUGCAGCAGAAAAGAAGAUUGCAAGUAACAUUUCUGGAGGGCUCCAGCUUUGAGUAAUUUAGUAGGAAGUGUCGAGGCCCUUUGCUGGUUUGAUCUUGGUCCACUCCGCUUCCAGUCUCCUUUCACAGUUCAGGAACUGUAGCGGGUUUCUUAGCCAUAACUUUGUCAGCAAGGUUUGUUUCCUGCCUUGUGCCCUGUGUUAGAUUGAUAGAUAGAUGUGAAAGGCACCAUAUGAUUGAUAGAUGUGAAAGGCACUAUAUGAUAGAUAGAUAGAUAUGAAAGGCACCAUAUGAUUGAUAGAUGUGAAAGGCACUAUAUGAUAGAUAGAUAUGAAAGUCACCAUAUGAUUGAUAGAUAGAUAGAUAGAUAGAUAGAUGUGAAAGGCACCGUAUGAUUGAUUGAUAGAUGUGAAAGGCACUAUAUGAUAGAUAGAUAGAUAUGAAAGGCACCAUAUGAUUGAUAGAUGUGAAAGGCACUAUAUGAUAGAUAGAUAUGAAAGUCACCAUAUGAUUGAUAGAUAGAUAGAUAGAUAGAUGUGAAAGGCACCGUAUGAUUGAUUGAUAGAUGUGAAAGGCACUAUAUGAUAGAUAGAUAGAUAGAUGUGAAAGGCACUAUAUGAUAGAUAGAUAGAUAUGAAAGGCACCAUAUGAUUGAUAGAUGUGAAAGGCACUAUAUGAUAGAUAGAUAUGAAAGUCACCAUAUGAUUGAUAGAUAGAUAGAUAGAUAGAUGUGAAAGGCACCAUAUGAUUGAUAGAUUGAUAGAUGUGAAAGGCACUAUAUGAUAGAUAGAUAGAUAUGAAAGGCACCAUAUGAUUGAUAGAUGUGAAAGGCACUAUAUGAUAGAUAGAUAUGAAAGUCACCAUAUGAUUGAUAGAUAGAUAGAUAGAUAGAUGUGAAAGGCACCGUAUGAUUGAUUGAUAGAUGUGAAAGGCACUAUAUGAUAGAUAGAUAGAUAGAUGUGAAAGGCACCGUAUGAUUGAUUGAUUGAUAGAUGUGAAAGGCACUAUAUGAUGGAUAGACAGAUGUGAAAAGUACCAUAUGAUUGAUAGAUAGAUGUGAAAGGCACUAUAUGAUAGACAGAUAGAUGUGAAAGGCACCAGAUGAUUGAUAGACAGAUAGAUGUGAAAGGCACUAUAUGAUAGAUGUGAAAGGCACCGUAUGAUUGAUUGAUUGAUAGAUGUGAAAGGCACCGUAUGAUUGAUUGAUUGAUAGAUGUGAAAGGCACUAUAUGAUAGAUAGAUAGAUAUGAAAGGCACCAUAUGAUUGAUAGAUAGAUAGAUGUAAAAGGCACCGUAUGAUUGAUUGAUAGAUGUGAAAGGCACUAUAUGAUAAAUGUGAAAGGCACCGUAUGAUUGAUUGAUAGAUGUGAAAGGCACUAUAUGAUAGAUAGAUAGAUAGAUAGAUAGAUAGAUAGAUAGAUAGAUAGAUAGGUGGAAGGCACUAUAUGAUUGAUAGAUAGAUGUGAAAGGCACCGUAUGAUUGAUUGAUAGAUGUGAAAGGCACUAUAUGAUGGAUAGACAGAUAGAUAGUGAAAGGCACUAUAUGAUGGAUAGAUAGAUAUGAAAGGCACCAUAUGAUUGAUAGAUAGAUGUGAAAGGCACCGUAUGAUUGAUUGAUAGAUGUGAAAGGCACUAUAUGAUAGAUACUUUAUUAAUCCCAAGGGGAAAUUCCCAUACUCCAGCAGCAGCAUACUGGUACAAUAAACAAUAUUAAAGAGUAAUUGUUGGCUGGAAUUUGCUCCAGCAGACCCCUGUGUUAGGAUAUAGCGGGCUGGAUAAUGACGGACUAUCUGAGCGACUGACCAAGCAGUUAUAUGGGAAUAAUGUAUUUUUUGUUCUUUUUAGCAAUAUUUUACAUCUUUGAUUUUCAUUCUAUUUUUCCGGCUGUUCUAAUUGUUUAAUUAACCCAUUAUUUUCUAAUUAGUGGGUCUAACGCUCAAGUAGUUUGAUUAUUCCGUGUUGUUGGCCUGGCUGUCUGCUCUGCUCAUUUUUAAUUGUCAUUAAUAAGAUACAAUGAGGGGGGAAAAGUGCACAGAGAAAGGGCAAAAUAUGAUGAAAUCAACAAAAGAGAGUUCAGCAUUUAAAUCUCUAGCAAAAGCAGAAAUAUUUCUAAAUGUCUUAUAAAUGUAAAAAUCACACUGCGGUGCUUUUCUGAAUGUCGAAUAAGAGAAAAUUAAUACCAUCUAAUUAAAUGAGCUCAGUGUGUUGUCACUGAUUAGGAAUCCGAUUGGAACAAAAACCUGCAGCCAGUGGGGGUCCCCAGGGCACUGAUCUUUAUUGUAAUUCCAAACGUGGAUAUAAACACGAAUACAGACGCAGGUCUGUUUAAAGUCAACUGUCCCAUACAAAGAGUAACUUUUUCAUCACUGUGUAAACUUUGCAUGUUUCUGUCAAGAUUAAAAUUUUAUCUUUAAAAUA